rnacentral:lncRNA from 1 species
AUGAAAAUAGCAAAUAUUUAGAGAUGCAAAUUAGUUUUUUCAUGUAUUCUUAAUUGAAUUUUUUCUUGUAAUUACAAACUUUUUCUAUUUUUUAGUUUUUUUUUUGUGUUUUCUUGUUUUCCUUAUAUUUUUUUACCAAAUUAAUAUUUUCUAAUCGUUUCUUUAUUUUUAUAGUAUUUUUUGGUUCUUUAUUUUAAAAUAAGGGGUAAAAUUCUGAAAAACAUAAAAUAGAGGGGGUAAAAUUCCGAGUUUUAAAAUAAGGGGGGCAAAAUUCCGAUUCAAUCAAAAUAGAGGGGGUAAAAUUCCGAGUUUUAAAAUAGGGGGGGUAAAAUUGCAUUUAAGCCUCUAGAAAUUGAUUAUCAUUGGAGUUCAAUGACAAACGACUCAAAGAUGGCCGACUGUACUCGACAUCAAAACCAGAAGUAUUUCCAAAAUCAAACUCGAUAGCCGGAGCAAAUUGGUUGAAUUGGGCUAGUAGAUUUGUUGGUGUUUGUGGGCGGUUGUAGCGUGGGUUGUUGUAUAUUGUGUUGUUAUAUUGUGGGUUGUUGUAGGCGGGGUAAUUGGUUUUGGAUGGGCCAAAUUUGUUUGGGUCAUGGUAACAAUAGUUUUGCAUUGAAUUUUCAAUUUAAGUUGACUCAUCAUGGGGUACAUAAGCAUUUCUCGGGGUAGUAUAUGGUGGUGGUUGGAUAAUAUUGUGUUGUGGGGUAUCGAGAAAUUCAUACAUUAUAGAACCAUGUGUGUUUUGUGUUGCGUUGGUUGUCGUUUGGUUGGUAGGUGGUUGUGAGUAAGGAUCUGGUAUUGUUGAAAGAAAUUCUUGUGAUCAGGAGUCAUGCGGCUCUGGAUUCGGUUGGUUGUUGUAAUUUUCACAUUAUGGCUAUGGUUCUAGCUCCGACUCCGAAUUUGAAUGUGGAGUAUGCGAUC